CGGAGGGUGCAAGCGUUAAUCGGAAUUACUGGGCGUAAAGCGCACGCAGGCGGUCUGUCAAGUCGGAUGUGAAAUCCCCGGGCUUAACCUGGGAACUGCAUUCGAAACUGGCAGGCUAGAGUCUUGUAGAGGGGGUAGAAUUCCAGGUGUAGCGGUGAAAUGCGUAGAGAUCUGGAGGAAUACCGGUGGCGAAGGCGGCCCCUGGACAAAGACUGACGCUCAGGUGCGAAAGCGUGGGGAGCAAACAGGAUU
rnacentral:rRNA from 1 species